CGGCGGCGGCGUGCGGGGCGAGCCCUCGAGGAGCCCAGCCUGCGGCGGCGCCCUGGGCGCCUGGGGCAUCCCCGGGCCCGCCACCAGGGGUUCCCCGGGCCCGUUUCACAGAUGGGGACACGGAGGCUCCGAGGUCACAGAGAUAGGCCACGGUUUUCCAGGGAGGAAGGAGCCGACGCGAGAAUCCUUCCUGCCUACUAUCUUUUGCUCUGGCUGGAGGCGUGAAGGCGGGGUGGGAGGGUGAAGGCGCUGAACCCGGAGAAGCUCAGGGGUUGGUAGCUCCUGCCCCCCCGAGUCUCUAGUCCUCUCUGCUGCAGACGAGAAAAUAGAACAUCCCCUGGGUCCCCAGAGUUGACCUGCAUCAGUCACCACUGUCCCUGAAGCCCCCACCAUGGGCACCGGGCUGGAGGGAGGAAACAUGCAAAUCCCAAGAACUCCCGCCACCCCCAUGUCACCUGUUUCAGACCAGCCCUUUGUGCAGGGGAGCAGAACAGCCCAGCUGACUGCCUACCCGGAGAAUGCUUCCAAUCCCUGGCAGGAAAUGGCUGGCAAGGUGCCUCAAGAAAAACUCAAAGCGUUUAGGAAAGAUGAAAUAUGGGAGACCCUACCCCGGUCAAUCAGAACAAGAGCUAAGAGAGAAAUCAUGGAAAUGGGUAUAGCGAAGAUGCUCAGACAUGCCUAGAGGCUUUUAGCAAUGCGGAUUCCCCGGCACAGACCCGAUCACAGAUCCUGAGUAGGCGGAUGUGGAGCAUGGCCCAGGAAUGUGCAUUUGUUACAAGCGUGGCAACCCCCUGACUUCCGCAGUAGAACUGCAGAGACCUUCCCUGGAGCCUUUCCAUAGAAAUCUCUUCCAGGGCCUCACCCAGCCUGGAAGGUUCUGCCUGGGUCAAUUCUGCACAACCAGAAGGACCCCAGGCAUAAAGUUUGAGGAGUGACCACAGAAACUAGGGCCUGAUUACUAAUAGCUUCACAGGAACAGGGAGGGUCAGGCUCAAUUCCCCAAGGCCUUUCUACCCCAGGGCCUUUGCACUUCCUGUUUCCUCUCCCUAGAAAGUACUUCCACCAGAGAUCUCCUUCACCUCCUUUAGAUUUUACUCAAAUACCACCUCACUUAAAAUUCUUUAAAAAAAAACAAAAACAAAACCCAAUAGAGAAGAAGGAGCAACAAGACAAGAACAAAA